GCUUUAUAGUGGAAAAGAAAGAAAACAUUAGAUUGCAAAUCUGAAGAGGUAAAUUACUAAAGCUUA
rnacentral:tRNA from 1 species